GGUUUUAAGUUGAAGUAUCAGCGGAGUGAUGAUUUAGUUUCGGACUGUUAUUGAAAACGAAUGGUUAAUGUUAUCCAAUGAUAAAUUAUAAUCGCAUGCUAACGAAUAUUUGGUUAAAAAUCUCGAUACCGACGGAAUUAUUACCUGUACAAUUCACGGUAUAGCUGGAAGUGUAAGUUUCUAAUGGAGCUAACAAAAGUUAACGGGAAACGCGGAUUAUUUUCAUUCUGGAAAUAUCAUUCAAACUUCAAAAAACCUAAUACCGAACAGGUGAUCGAGUUGAAUGAUUGCUGAGUGAAGACUUCAUAUCGAAAUCGAAGGUGGUGGCAUCUUAUCACAGUUGAUACAGAAGUACCAGAUAUAGAAAACAUCACCGCUACUUUCAUCAGAUAUUGUACAUAAAAAGUAAAAGCAGGAAAACCCGGCGCAAAUUAUGAUUAUCAUAAUAUCUACAUAUAAUGAAAUUGUUAUUAUGAAUGAAAUACAUCUUUGAAAAUAUUAUUUAGAAACACUUUGUGAUAUCGUAUAACUUGAAUCUAAUAUUUCGAAAAUUGUUAAGUACUCAUAACUGAAAUGCUGCAAUAUAUAUUCCAUUAUAAAACUCAGAUAUAAACUUCUACAUAUAUUUUAUUAUAA